rnacentral:rRNA from 1 species
ACCGAAUAGGGGAGCCGGAGGGAAACCGAGUCUUAAUUGGGCGUUAAGUUGCAGGGUAUAGACCCGAAACCCGGUGAUCUAGCCAUGGGCAGGUUGAAGGUUGGGUAACACUAACUGGAGGACCGAACCGACUAAUGUUGAAAAAUUAGCGGAUGACCUGUGGCUGGGGGUGAAAGGCCAAUCAAACCGGGAGAUAGCUGGUUCUCCCCGAAAGCUAUUUAGGUAGCGCCUCGUGAAUUCAUCUCCGGGGGUAGAGCACUGUUUCGGCUAGGGGGCCAUCCCGGCUUACCAACCCGAUGCAAACUGCGAAUACCGGAGAAUGUUAUCACGGGAGACACACGGCGGGUGCUAACGUCCGUCGUGAAGAGGGAAACAACCCAGACCGCCAGCUAAGGUCCCAAAGUCAUGGUUAAGUGGGAAACGAUGUGGGAAGGCCCAGACAGCCAGGAUGUUGGCUUAGAAGCAGCCAUCAUUUAAAGAAAGCGUAAUAGCUCACUGGUCGAGUCGGCCUGCGCGGAAGAUGUAACGGGGCUAAACCAUGCACCGAAGCUGCGGCAGCGAACGUAUCACCCAAGACAACUUUGCGGAGUUGACGAUUGACGGAGCGAAGCGACGUCAAAGCGUUCAUUAAAGUCGAGUUGGCUUAGGGAUACGUUCGUUGGGUAGGGGAGCGUUCUGUAAGCCAGUGAAGGUGUGUCGUGAGGCAUGCUGGAGGUAUCAGAAGUGCGAAUGCUGACAUAAGUAACGAUAAAGCGGGUGAAAAGCCCGCUCGCCGGAAGACCAAGGGUUCCUGUCCAACGUUAAUCGGGGCAGGGUGAGUCGACCCCUAAGGCGAGGCCGAAAGGCGUAGUCGAUGGGAAACGGGUUAAUAUUCCCGUACUUGGUGUUACUGCGAAGGGGGGACGGAGAAGGCUAUGUUGGCCGGGCGACGGUUGUCCCGGUUUAAGCGUGUAGGUGUGUGUUCCAGGUAAAUCCGGUUCACUUUAACACUGAGGCGUGACGACGAGGCACUACGGUGCUGAAGCAACAAAUGCCCUGCUUCCAGGAAAAGCCUCUAAGCAUCAGGUAACAUCAAAUCGUACCCCAAACCGACACAGGUGGUCAGGUAGAGAAUACCAAGGCGCUUGAGAGAACUCGGGUGAAGGAACUAGGCAAAAUGGUGCCGUAACUUCGGGAGAAGGCACGCUGACACGUAGGUGAAGUGAUUUACUCAUGGAGCUGAAGUCAGUCGAAGAUACCAGCUGGCUGCAACUGUUUAUUAAAAACACAGCACUGUGCAAACACGAAAGUGGACGUAUACGGUGUGACGCCUGCCCGGUGCCGGAAGGUUAAUUGAUGGGGUCAGCGCAAGCGAAGCUCCUGAUCGAAGCCCCGGUAAACGGCGGCCGUAACUAUAACGGUCCUAAGGUAGCGAAAUUCCUUGUCGGGUAAGUUCCGACCUGCACGAAUGGCGUAAUGAUGGCCAGGCUGUCUCCACCCGAGACUCAGUGAAAUUGAACUCGCUGUGAAGAUGCAGUGUACCCGCGGCAAGACGGAAAGACCCCGUGAACCUUUACUAUAGCUUGACACUGAACAUUGAGCCUUGAUGUGUAGGAUAGGUGGGAGGCUUUGAAGUGUGGACGCCAGUCUGCAUGGAGCCGACCUUGAAAUACCACCCUUUAAUGUUUGAUGUUCUAACGUGGACCCGUGAUCCGGGUUGCGGACAGUGUCUGGUGGGUAGUUUGACUGGGGCGGUCUCCUCCUAAAGAGUAACGGAGGAGCACGAAGGUUGGCUAAUCCUGGUCGGACAUCAGGAGGUUAGUGCAAUGGCAUAAGCCAGCUUGACUGCGAGCGUGACGGCGCGAGCAGGUGCGAAAGCAGGUCAUAGUGAUCCGGUGGUUCUGAAUGGAAGGGCCAUCGCUCAACGGAUAAAAGGUACUCCGGGGAUAACAGGCUGAUACCGCCCAAGAGUUCAUAUCGACGGCGGUGUUUGGCACCUCGAUGUCGGCUCAUCACAUCCUGGGGCUGAAGUAGGUCCCAAGGGUAUGGCUGUUCGCCAUUUAAAGUGGUACGCGAGCUGGGUUUAGAACGUCGUGAGACAGUUCGGUCCCUAUCUGCCGUGGGCGCUGGAGAACUGAGGGGGGCUGCUCCUAGUACGAGAGGACCGGAGUGGACGCAUCACUGGUGUUCGGGUUGUCAUGCCAAUGGCACUGCCCGGUAGCUAAAUGCGGAAGAGAUAAGUGCUGAAAGCAUCUAAGCACGAAACUUGCCCCGA